GAAACGACUGCUAAGACUGAAUAGGAGAUAAGAAGGCAUCUUUUUAUUUUUAAGAGACCUAGCAAUAGGUAUGCUUAGGGAAGAGCUUGCGUCACAUUAGUUAGUUGGUGGGGUAAUGGCCUACCAAGACGAUGAUGUGUAGCCGGGCUGAGAGGUCGAACGGCCACAUUGGGACUGAGACACGGCCCAAACUCCUACGGGAGGCAGCAGUAAGGAAUUUUCGGCAAUGGAGGAAACUCUCCCCGAGAAAUGCCGCGUGAACGAUGAAGUAUUUCGGUACGUAAAGUUCUUUUAUUAGGGAAGAAAAGAUGGUGGAAAAACCAUUAUGACGGUACCUAAUGAAUAAGCCCCGGCUAACUAUGUGCCAGCAGCCGCGGUAAUACAUAGGGGGCAAGCGUUAUCCGGAAUUAUUGGGCGUAAAGGGUGCGUAGGCGGUUAAAUAAGUUUAUGGUCUAAGUGCAACGCUCAACGUUGUGAUGCUAUAAAAACUGUUUAGCUAGAGUUUGAUAGAGGCAAGUGGAAUUCCGUGUGUAGUGGUAAAAUGCGUAAAUAUACGGAGGAACACCAGAAGCGAAAGCGGCUUGCUGGGUCUUAACUGACGCUGAGGCACGAAAGCGUGGGGAGCAAACAGGAUUAGAUACCCUGGUAGUCCACGCCCUAAACGAUGAGUACUAAACGUUGGAUAAAACCAGUGUUGAAGUUAACACAUUAAGUACUCCGCCUGAGUAGUACGUACGCAAGUAUGAAACUUAAAGGAAUUGACGGGACUCCGCACAAGCGGUGGAUCAUGUUGUUUAAUUCGAAGGUACCCGAAAAACCUCACCAGGUCUUGACAUGCUUUUGCAAAGCUGUAGAAAUACAGUGGAGGCUAUCAGAAGCACAGGUGGUGCAUGGUUGUCGUCAGCUCGUGUCGUGAGAUGUUGGGUUAAGUCCCGCAACGAGCGCAACCCUUGUUGUUAAUUGCCAUCAUUAAGUUGGGGACUUUAGCAAGACUGCCAAUGAUAAAUUGGAGGAAGGUGGGGACAACGUCAAAUCAUCAUGCCCCUUAUGACCUGGGCUACAAACGUGGUACAAUGGCUGUUACAAAGGGUAGCUAAAGCGUAAGCUUCCGGCGAAUCUCAAAAAAGCAGUCUCAGUUCGGAUUGAAGUCUGCAACUCGACUUCAUGAAGUUGGAAUCGCAUAGUAAUCGCGAAUCAAGCAUGUCGCGGUGAAUACGAUGACGGGGUUUGUACACACCGCCCGUCA
rnacentral:rRNA from 2 species